UCUUCACACUUUUAAUAUAUUAUAGAUAUAGAUAUAGAUAAUUUCUUUAAUAGUUAUGUUGUUAAAUUAAGCCUCUUUCCAUAAAUGUUCUAAUCCUUAAGGAUUAAUUGUUGAUUGUUGUAUGCAUUGUCGAAACUAAUAGGACUUUGUUGUAAAUAAUAUUAUAAUUGUAUAUGAUUAUAACUUUAAUUUUCUCCUUUCUGAGUAUCAAUAUACACACCUCCAUCACCUCCUCAUUGAUCAUGCCCAACUUCAAGAUCUUACCCCUUCAUUGUUAUUGUUAAUAUUAUGUUAUGACUAUAUUUUGUAUGUCCCUGAAGGCUAUGGAAAGAGGCAUAGGAUCUCAUAUUGUGUGCACUUGAUAUUUGGAAGAAUAAGAAAAAGCUUUCCUCUUUUGUAUUCUUAAUUUCUUGUCUACUUUCUUCUUUUGUAUUAUUAUUAUGAGUUUGAUUUUACAACACAUAAUCAACAAGAGCUUCAAUUUCAUUUACAUCGAUAAGAAGAAGUUGAAUUCUAUUAUUUUUUGCAAUAUUGCUCUUCUGAGUGUUGAAAGGCUUAUACAACAUGUACAAUUUAUUAUGAAGAUUUUAAUUUAAUUGGAUUAUUCUAUCUUUGAAUGAUCUUGAUGAUUUUUGUAUCACAUCACUAACUGAUAUCUUUAUUGGCAUAUUAUCUUGACCCGAUCGAAAUAAUGCACAACAUAUAGUGGUCUUUGUGACUAUUUUUUUUAAAUUUAUUAUUUUUUAUAGAGAGUCGCCGCCUAAAUGUUUUCAUUUUUUGUGAUAAAAGCUCUAUCUUGGUCUGCGAAAGCUAGUGAAAUUGUGAGUAAGGGUUUUAGCUACUCGAAGGAAAGGUGUUGAGCACCCCUAAGAGCAUAUUCAAAGACAAUCCUUAAACUAAAUUUAGGAAAAAUAUUUGAAAAAAUCUUUACUUUAUUAUUUUCUAAAAAUAGUAAUAAGAAAACAUUUAUUAUUAUCACAUUCUUUUUUUGAAAAAGAAAACUUAAGGUAUAGAAGAUGUAAC
rnacentral:lncRNA from 1 species